rnacentral:rRNA from 1 species
UACGUAGGGGGCAAGCGUUGGUCCGGAAUCAUUGGGCGUAAAGAGCGUGUAGGCGGCCCGGUAAGUCCGCUGUGAAAGUCCAGGGCUCAACCCUGGGAUGCCGGUGGAUACUGUCGGGCUCGAGUCCGGAAGAGGAGUGUGGAAUUCCUGGUGUAGCGGUGAAAUGCGCAGAUAUCAGGAAGAACACCUAUGGCGAAGGCAGCUCUCUGGGACGGUACUGACGCUGAGACGCGAAAGCGUGGGGAGCGAACAGG